rnacentral:rRNA from 1 species
GUCGAGAAUCUUUCACAAUGGGGGCAACCCUGAUGGAGCGACGCCGCGUGGAGGAUAAGGUCUUCGGAUUGUAAACUCCUGUCAUGCGUGAACAAGGUUGCUUGGUUAAUACCUGGGCAAAUUGAUGGUAACGCAAGAGGAAGAGACGGCUAACUCUGUGCCAGCAGCCGCGGUAAUACAGAGGUCUCAAGCGUUGUUCGGAAUCACUGGGCGUAAAGGGUGCGUAGGUGGAGUGGUAAGUCAGAUGUGAAAGCCCGGGGCUCAACCUCGGAACUGCAUCCGAUACUGCCAUGCUAGAGUACUGGAGAGGUGACUAGAAUUCUCGGUGUAGCAGUGAAAUGCGUAGAUAUCGAGAGGAAUACCAAAGGCGUAGGCAGGUCACUGGACAGUUACUGACACUGAGGCACGAAGGCCAGGGGAGCGAACGGGAUUAGAUACCCCUGUAGUCC